AACGCUAGCUACAGGCUUAACACAUGCAAGUCGAGGGGCAGCAUGACUGAAGCUUGCCUCAGUUGAUGGCGACCGGCGUACGGGUGCGUAACGCGUAUCCAACCUGCCCUCUACUCCGGAACAGCCCGUCGAAAGGCGGAUUAAUACCGUAUGAGGUCACAUGACGGCAUCAGAGUGUGACGAAAGGUUUGGCGGACAGGGAUGGGGAUGCGUCCGAUUAGCUUGUUGGCGGGGUAACGGCCCACCAAGGCAACGAUCGGUAGGGGUUCUGAGAGGAAGGUCCCCCACAUUGGAACUGAGACACGGUCCAAACUCCUACGGGAGGCAGCAGUGAGGAAUAUUGGUCAAUGGGCGAGAGCCCGAACCAGCCAAGUAGCGUGAAGGAUGACUGCCCUAUGGGUUGUAAACUUCUUUUAUAAGGGAAUAAAGUGCAUCACGUGUGGUGUUUUGUAUGUACCUUAUGAAUAAGGAUCGGCUAACUCCGUGCCAGCAGCCGCGGUAAUACGGAGGAUCCGAGCGUUAUCCGGAUUUAUUGGGUUUAAAGGGAGCGUAGGCGGCAGGUUAAGUCAGUUGUGAAAGUUUGCGGCUCAACCGUAAAAUUGCAGUUGAUACUGGCCUGCUUGAGUGCGGCAGAGGCAGGCGGAAUUUGUGGUGUAGCGGUGAAAUGCUUAGAUAUCACGAAGAACUCCGAUUG
rnacentral:rRNA from 1 species